rnacentral:misc_RNA from 1 species
AAGUCGUAACAAGGUUUCCGUAGGUGAACCUGCGGAAGGAUCAUUAACACGUAUCCAAACGUUAAAACAACCCUGUGAACCUUCAGCCUGCUCUUUCCUGCAGCCAACGGAGCAAUCUCAGGUAACUUAGGCCCAAAGAAUUACAGAUUUUAACUUCUGGGACCUCUCCUAGUACGCUCGUGGGAGAUUGAAGCGGUAGAUAAAGCACCCUGGUACCCUUGAGCAAUCACCUGUCUGAAAGCGUCAAGUGAUCAAUGUUCAGGGUGGCGCAGUCAACGAUCGCUGUAGGUCCACACGACCGGCGACCGGGGUGGCGGCGAAAGCCCCUAAAUAUUCACACCUAUGUACCCUCCGGGACUUGGCGAAAGCUGACUCCGUCAUAAAUCGAACAACUGUUAACAAUGGAUAUCUUGGUUCUC